UGCGGCGUAGUCGAGAGGCCUCAGACAACCGGCUUUGACCCGGUGCACGUUGGUUCGAAUCCAACCGCCGCUGCCA
rnacentral:tRNA from 1 species